CAGAUGUGAAAGACCCGGGGCGUCAACCUCGGAAUAGCAUUUGAAACUGGCAGACUAGAGUACUGUAGAGGGGGGUAGGAAUUUCAGGUGUAGCGGUGAAAUGCGUAGAGAUCUGAAGGAAUACCGGUGGCGAAGGCGGCCCCCUGGACAGAUACUGACACUCAGAUGCGAAAGCGUGGGGAGCAAACAGGAUUAGAUACCCUGGUAG
rnacentral:rRNA from 1 species